rnacentral:misc_RNA from 1 species
UGCACAGAGACUGGAAGUAGCC